rnacentral:rRNA from 1 species
GACAGAGGGUGCAAACGUUGCUCGGAAUUACUGGGCGUAAAGGGCGUGUAGGCGGGAAGGCAAGUCGGGCGUGAAAGCCCCAGGCUCAACCUGGGAACUGCACUCGAAACUGCCUUUCUUGAGUGCCGGAGAGGAAAGCGGAAUUCCUGGUGUAGAGGUGAAAUUCGUAGAUAUCAGGAGGAACACCAGUGGCGAAGGCGGCUUUCUGGACGGUAACUGACGCUGAGACGCGAAAGCGUGGGGAGCGAACCGG